GAAGCCAGAGAAGGAAGUGGGGGAGGGGAGCUGUCUUUUCUGAGAAGAGCCACUCGCGGGAGGGAGGAAGGGCAGACUCAGAGAAGAGCCGUUUGGAAAAGCCGGCCAAAUAAGGUGAAUUUGGCACAUGGAUUGUCCUGUUUUUCCCCGCUUAUCCAGAUGGCAUUAUGAGGCUGCUGUUCACUCAGCUGCUUUUAAAAACCAGCUGCCACGGAUGCUGGUCAGAAGCGGGGCACAAUCAGCAAGGCUCUUGGUCUCUUCUGGGAUAGCAGAAGUGGAACUUAUCAUCUUCCCAGAAUCCUUAGUGCUGCACAAGGCCCUUCUGUCAACACCAAUCCGUAGAGGAGCUGCUAAUGGAGACACCUUUGUUCAGAGCAAGGAUGGGAUCGUCGUGAGCUUAACUGGAUCUCUGUCUGGGGAUUUAAUUUUUUAUGGUGUUUUUUCUCUCACAGUGGUAUCCUUAGAGCAGCUUCAAAUAAGUAAAAUAAUGAACAUUUCUGCCCAUUUUAGGAGUUUGGUUAUUUGGUUUAAAAGAUUUUUUGUCAUGACUGUUUAGGAAAAAUGUUAAUUGAUUUGAAAAACGAGAACUUCUAACCUCUUAAACAAAGUUUUUGCGAUCUGCAAACUUAAUCUAAUUAAACAAUAAAAAAAAAACCUGUUCCUUAACUAAACAUUCCUUAAAACAGUGCCUAGAGGUUUGUGAAGAAAGCCCAUUGAUAUUGCAUGCAAAGGAAGGCUGAUGGAAAAGAACAAGGAUAUAGGAUAUUCAUUAAGGUGAUCAUAGAUGAACAGGCAGGGACAAAAUAAUUUGGGGCAAAAAUCUUAAUUGGAGGAGAAAAUCUGGCAUAAAAUAAUAGGACACUAAUUUAAAAAACAAAAAUGCAGCAGGCCAUACUUGGUGCAUCCCACUGCUUCCCUUGUCUCUGCGAUACUGUAGUGUUCGUACCUACUGCUGGCUGCGUGGCAGAUUCUACUACUAUGAUGAAAGUGAUGAUAUUGGCUGGCGGCUGUAUCGUGUUUCUUGUUGCUUUGGAUCAAGCUCUACAUGUUUCUCUGUUUAGUCUUGUCUUUGCUUGUGGUGUGCAGUGUGCACUCACCAAGUUGAAUUGUGUUGGCAGCUGUAUGAAUUUAUCAAAAUAACUUUCUAUACCUUUAAUUUCUUUUAUAUUUUUUACAUAUCUCGAGUAACUAUGGUCCAUUUUAAAUGCUUCAGUCCUCUAUUGCUGUAGAGCUGUGUAGAAACAGGUCUAUACUUCUCCAGCAAUGCUGUUCUCGGCCAUAGUCUAUGAUCCCAGCCUAGUUCACAUAAAUCUGCAGGAGAAAUUUCGUCGGUCAGAUGCAAUAUAGUGGGCUGCCAAAUGAGGCUUGGGGAGAGGAUUAUAUGAGAACAGUGGGAUGGUUUUAUACAAGGGGACGCGCCCCCCGCCAAGCCCCUUUUAGAGUUCAAUAUAUAAGCUAUAAAACUGAGUGCUUUCUCAGUAUGAGAGCACUUCUUUGACUUUUCCAUUAAGAGAUGGUUCCCAUACCUCUGGAUUGCCUCAGAGCAGAACGCUGGGAAGGACAGAGCCAGUGGGAUGUGGGGUGGGGGGCUGUUCUGAAUCUCCAGUCGCCCGCAAUGAUCCACAUAUUGCCUUUGGUACUAACAUUUUAUCUCGGGAGGGAGGGUACCACAAAACUACAGUGUUUGCGGAGCGUAUGAAUUCCUGCAUCUCUGUGCGUUAUUAGGUAGGUGGCCUUCAUCAGAGGUUUAGCUUCUCAUAGUUUUAUUUCAGUAUUGUGGGCCCAGGUUUACUGUUUUUUUUACUCUCAUUUUUCAUAACACUGUUUAACCUACGAAAAUGUUUCUGAACAGUCCUUAAUAUUUUGCGAUUUGGUCCCUGUAUUUCCUUGCAAGACUCUUUCUAGAAACCUUCCUUAAUACACCUGUAGUCUGAUCCACAUGGAAAAAGUACCUCCAAAAUAAAGGCACCCUGCACAAGAAGUAAAACAAUGCAGCAGGCAAGGUAAUUAGCUCCCAGGGCAUUCCUACAACCCAGUCUAGCGUCUCUGCAUUCGGGCAUGCCUCCCUCGUCAGGUCCCUGAAGUGCUCGGCCUGUGAUUGGUACUUGAAGAGUGGAAGUCUGCUUUGAGAGCCCAGUUUUCCACAUGCCUUUAAUUAUCAUCCUGUAGGAAGAACAAAGCAAUUUUUCCGUAGUUCCCAGAGCUGGUGAUGCAGAACAGGAUCGUGGGCAGUGUCUGCCAGAGACGAUGAACUCUGUCAAUCAGAACAGCUGGCUCCAAGCAGGGGGAGGCAGGGGAACUGAUGAGGAGGUGAGGCAACCCUGAUCCGCUACCAGUACAGGCUAACCAAUUUGCAGUGUGUGAUCCUAAGAGUGUUGUUUAUUUAUUAGAACUCCAUUUUCAGGAUAACCUUUAGGGGGUCCCAUUCCAGCAGGAGUGUUUGUGGGGUUAUUGUCCCCAGCAAGGCAUAAGCCUGUAUUGAUGUAUGUCACACUUCCAUCUCUACGUUAUCGAGAGAAUUUAAUAUGAAAAGAAACUAGUCAUUUUUUUUUGACAAGCGUUUCAAUGUGGAUUCAUGUGAUUGUGAUACAGUGUGGGCUUUUUAAUAACAAAGUUUAUUUUUAGUAAUUCUUUAUAUAUCUCCAUUGGUUGGUUUCACAGACCCUGAUUAGAACUUACCAAAGGCUAAUCAGGGCCUUUGAAACCAGCCAUGUAUCUCCAAUAUGUCACGCUUACAUUUUGAUAUACCUUGGGAGGAUGGUUCCAAUGUACUGUAUUUCCAUCCACUCCUAAACACUUCAAACCCUGUAUUUCUGUAUCCCAUUAAUACAUAUGGGUUUCCGGAAGGUGAGCUGUUGAGUCUCUGUGGGUCAAGCCUGCCUAUACAGGGGUGUUACAGAGUGACUUGGGGGUCAUACAGCAAUGGUGGAAGAGAGAGACAGAGCACACUUCCACUGUCACCCAUAGGGGGUGCUGUGCAUACCUAAUGAACAAUGAUUAAUAAUGGCAAACAGCAACACCUAAGGGCGACAGUUACAAUGUGGAGCACAUCAUGUGGCAUCAGCCUUUAUGUAAUAUCCAUAGAUAUAUUUAAAACUUCAAGCGUUCCGGGAGCAUGGACAAGUGGUGUCCCGUGGUUACAGCAAGCAUUUGCAAAACCCCCUUAAGCGCCGGCUAGGAACUUUUGAUCGAAACGAAAUAGAAGCUAGUGUGAAAGUCGCCUCUGUGUCAGCUGAAUCUUUUUUUUGCUGCAUAAACUUCUUGCGACCCUCACCCUGCAACUGGGAGAGGUCCGCGGCACAAACUUCCUUUAUUCUUGCAAACAAGGGCAGCAGCGACAGCCGCGGUGGUCACAUGACCCGCCCGAGCGGCCCACGUGACACCGCUGCAGAUGUUGUGCGAAAACUGGGUGAGUGCCGCAACAGAGAGCCCACAAUACAGGCCUUGUGUCUCCGGCAGCUGUAUAAAACAGCUGCACAGAAAGAGAAUUAGAAAUGCAGUACACUGCUUUAAAGAGACAGUCUUCUUUGUGGUUUACAGCAUAAUGGGCUUUGUGUGUGGAAAUUAUGAGCACCUCCUCCGCUUACAAAAAACCAAUCCCUCUGUUAUCAGAUAAAGGGCGGCACCUAUCCAAGCCUCCUGCUCCUUCCCUGUGUUCUCAUGCCACCAGAUUUUAAAUUUCAUUCAUCUUGAUCCCCUUUUUGUGGCCUGAAUCCAUUGAUUGUGCGAAGAUGGAAUCUCGACCUGAAAUCAGAUCCAUUAUGAAACAAAUUAAAGUUCCUGUCCCUGUGAUCAGUUUCAUUCUCUCAGCUGCUUCUCUAAUUUCCUUGUGUUUAAACCCUUUAUUCUUGUGUCAAACCCUGAUCGGAGCAGCUUCUGCAGUCCACAGACAUAACUACACCAUGUGUUUGCUGAGGUCCUUGGCUAAGCAGGAUGCUCAAGCAUUAGCCCCAACCUUACUUCAAGUCAUAACCCUCUCAGGGCCAGAGCCUGGUCCCUAUUGGAAACGCAGGUAUAGACCUGAAACUUAACCCUUAGUCCAGCUCAGACCCCAAUUGGAGCCGCAAUUCACCCACAGGACCUAAAGACAGGAUUUUACCAAGUUACUGAACCCUGGAGACAGGAUCCAGCCUCAGACGGCAACAGCAUUGAGGCAAACUAUCCUGCAGCAUCCCAAAGCCUAAUGCAGCACUCACUGUGGCUCCAUGCACAAGACUGGCAGCUUGGGGAUUGGCAGUUUCGCCCAAACUUCGGACGGCAAUGCUUUUACUAGAAGACACACCUUGUUUCUUUCGUAUCUCUCUCCAAAUCCCAACUUUCCGGGAAACAAUUUGAAUUUGAAAUUAAUGCAAAAAUGAUUUGCAUCCUUCAUUGGGUUCAUCAAUCAUCACUAAACCAUUCGUCAGUGUCAAUUUGCAUGUCUAUCCUUCAUUUAUACAGUACAUGCAGCAAUCGUUAUCUGCCAACACACAAAGUGUAUACUGUGAAGAAUACGCACUCUGUCCCACCUUAUCCUGGGCUAAAGCAGAUAUAAUGUACUGGAUUACACUUAGUAGUGCAAAGGUACAUUUUCAGAGAAAAAAAAUCCUAACUAAUAAUGUAACAGCUCCUUCCUGGAGCUACGCUAAUUCACGUUUAUAUCGUUACACUUGUCUUAUUCCUUCUAUUCCAAAUGCACCUUUGCAUGUGUUUCCAAAUGGGGCAGGCAAAACAAUUCAGGCAAAGUGCUGAUAUCCAUAAAUUACCAGGUAGUGCAGGAGGCUGUGAUGUGACUCCCUAUGCCUCGAACUUUAUCUAUUGAACUGAAAUUCAGUUUGAAAACACACUUAGAAGUGUGUGAGUUUCUGUGAUGCAGAGGAAAAAAGGUACAGACUGGAGACAAAGGCAAGACUGGUGAUAAUUGUAUCUGAUCUAGCACCUCAGGUGUUUUAUUUUAUUACUGAAAUACUGGGGGACCUUUAGGAUUAACACACUGACUUUUUACAUCUUUUUUCACAGUAUUUUCAGAACUCAAAACCCUUAGUCCCAGGGUUAAAAAGAGAAGGUUCCCAGGUGUUUAUGUUAUGCAAUUACUGGCACGCUAAUGUUUUAUGACUAUAGCCAACAAUAGUUUGUCAUGUUUCCUCCUUGUACACACACACACCAAAUAACUGCUUUUGUAUUUGAUUAGGGAUCUGCACAUUAGAUCCCACACUGUAGAUUAAGAACCUCUGCUUCCUGGUUCCACAUCACUUCCUGUCCUGUAGGUCAACUCCAUCAUCUCUAUGGCAGGCCAUGGAAGUGAGGCUGGCUGGCACAGGAAGGAAACAGAUCAGUAUCAUAAACAACAUAGCUCAGCAUGACCUGCAUGCAGAGUGGAAUGAUGGCUAAAAAAAGAAAAGAACUGCACUUAAAGCCUUUGUUCUG